rnacentral:rRNA from 1 species
UCUGACACAGGUGCUGCAUGGCUGUCGUCAGCUCGUGUCGUGAGAUGUUGGGUUAAGUCCCGUAACGAGCGCAACCCUUGUCCUUAGUUACCAGCACGUUAUGGUGGGCACUCUAAGGAGACUGCCGGUGACAAACCGGAGGAAGGUGGGGGAUGACGUCAAGUCAUCAUGGCCUUUACGGCCUGGGCUACACACGUGCUACAAUGGUCGGUACAAAGGGUUGCCAAGCCGCGAGGUGGAGCUAAUCCCAUAAAACCGAUCGUAGUCCGGAUCGCAGUCUGCAACUCGACUGCGUGAAGUCGGAAUCGCUAGUAAUCGUGAAUCAGAAUGUCGCGGUGAAUGCGUUCCCGGGCCUU